GAUAGAGGCCUACCAUGGUGGUAACGGGUAACGGGGUGUUAGGGCACGACACCGGAGAGGGAGCCUGAGAAACGGCUACCACAUCCAAGGAUGGCAGCAGGCGCGCAAAUUACCCAAUCCCGACACGGGGAGGUAGUGACAAUAAAUAACAAUACGGGGUUCUUUCGGAUCUCGUAAUUGGAAUGAGUACAAUUUAAAUCUCUUAACGAGGAACAAUUGGAGGGCAAGUCUGGUGCCAGCAGCCGCGGUAAUUCCAGCUCCAAUAGCGUAUAUUAAAGUUGUUGCAGUUAAAAAGCUCGUAGUUGAAUUUCGGGGUUAGUAGGUUGGUCAUGCCUCUGGUAUGUACUGGUCUCACUGAUUCCUCCUUCCUUAUGAACCGUAAUGCCAUUAAUUUGGUGUUGCGGGGAAUUUGGACUGUUACUUUGAAAAAAUUAGAGUGUUUAAAGCAAGCUAACGCUUGAAUACAUUAGCAUGGAAUAAUGAAAUAGGACGUUCGAUCUUAUUUUGUUGGUUUCUAGGAUUGACGUAAUGAUUAAUAGGGAUAGUUGGGGGCAUUAGUAUUCAAUUGUCAGAGGUGAAAUUCUUGGUUUUAUUGAAGACUAACUACUGCGAAAGCAUUUGCCAAGGAUGUUUUCAUUAAUCAAGAACGAAAGUUAGGGGAUCGAAGACGAUCAGAUACCGUCGUAGUCUUAACCAUAAACUAUGCCGACUAGGGAUCGGAUGAUGU
rnacentral:rRNA from 1 species